rnacentral:snRNA from 1 species
GGAUGUGAGGGGGAUCUGGCUGCCACAUCUGUCACCCCAUUAAUCGCUAGGGUUGAUUCGGCUGAUCUGGCUGGCUAGGCGGGUGUUUUUGCUGGCUGGCUAGGCGGGUGUCCCCUUCCUCCCUCACCGCUCCAUGUGCGUCCCUCCUGAAGCUGCGCGCUCGGUCAAAGAGGACGACCACCCCCGAUAGAGGAGGACCGUUUCCUCCGUCAAGGGUAUAAGAGUAGCUGCGCUCCCCUACUAGAACCUCCAAACAAACUCUCAAGACCUGGCCCCCAGUACUGAUGGUGAUUGUCCAUGCCAUCCCUCAACAGGAGACAACCCAAAGUCACACUU